rnacentral:rRNA from 1 species
GACUACAUGAAGCUGGAAUCGCUAGUAAUCGCGGAUCAGAAUGCCGCGGUGAAUACGUUCCCGGGUCUUGUACACACCGCCCGUCACACCAUGGGAGGUCGGAAAUGCCCGAAGUCUGUGACCCAACCUUAGGGAGGGAGCAGCCGAAGGCAGGUCGGAUGACUGGGGUGAAGUCGUAACAAGGUAGC